UACGUAGGGGGCAAGCGUUGUCCGGAUUUACUGGGCGUAAAGAGCGUGUAGGCGGCCAGGCAGGUCUGUUGUGAAAACUGGAGGCUUAACCUCCAGACGUCGACAGAAACCGUCUGGCUAGAGUCCGGAAGAGGAGAGUGGAAUUCCUGGUGUAGCGGUGAAAUGCGUAGAUAUCAGGAGGAACACCGAUGGCGAAGGCAGGUCUCUGGGCUGACACUGACGCUCAUGCACGAAAGCGUGGGGAGCAAACAGG
rnacentral:rRNA from 1 species